GAGGUCACCCAUCCUAGUACUACUCUCGCCCAAGCACGCUUAACUCCGGAGUUAAGCGUGCUUGGGCGAGAGUAGUACUAGGAUGGGUGACCUCCUGGGAAGUCCUCGUGUUGCACCCC
rnacentral:rRNA from 1 species